rnacentral:rRNA from 1 species
AUUGAACGCUGGCGGCAGGCCUAACACAUGCAAGUCGAGCGAGCGGCGGACGGGUGAGUAAUGUCUGGGAAACUGCCUGAUGGAGGGGGGUAAAUACUGGAAACGGUAGCUAAUACCGCAUACCAUCAGAUGUGCCCAGAUGGGAUUAGCGAGUGGGUGGGGGAAAGGCGCACCUGGGCGACGAUCCCUAGCUGGUUUGAGAGGAUGACCAGCAACACUGGAACUGAGACAGGGUCCCGACUCCUCCGGGAGGCAGAAGUGGGGAUUAUUGCACAAUGGGCGCAAGCCUGAUGCAGCCAUGCCGGGUGUGUGAAGAAGGCCUUCGGGUUUUAAAGUACUUUCAGCGGGGAGGCGUUACCCGCAGAAGAAGCACCGGCUAACUCCGUGCCAGCAGCCGCGGUAAUAC